AGCCGCGGUAACACGUAGGGGGCGAGCGUUGUCCGGAAUUACUGGGCGUAAAGGGCGCGUAGGCGGCCUAGCAAGUCAGGCGUGAAAUUUUAAGGCUCAACCUUAAGACUGCGUCUGAAACUGUUAGGCUUGAGGGCAGGAGAGGAGAGCGGAAUUCCCAGUGUAGCGGUGAAAUGCGUAGAUAUUGGGAGGAACACCAGUGGCGAAGGCGGCUCUCUGGACUGUACCUGACGCUGAGGCGCGAAAGCGUGGGGAGCAAACAGGAUUAGAUACCCUGGUAGUCCACGCUGUAAACGAUGGGUGCUAGGUGUUGGAGGUAUCGAUCCCUCCAGUGCCGCAGUAAACGCAAUAAGCACCCCGCCUGGGGACUACGGCCGCAAGGCUGAAACUCAAAGGAAUUGACGGGGGCCCGCACAAGCGGUGGAGCAUGUGGUUUAAUUCGACGCAACGCGAAGAACCUUACCAGGGCUUGACAUCCACAGUACUCGGUGGAAACACUGGGGUGCCCUUCGGGGAACUGUGAGACAGGAGGUGCAUGGCC
rnacentral:rRNA from 1 species